rnacentral:piRNA from 1 species
UCAUUUUGUGAAUAUAUUCUGGGCUAUAUU